rfam:Oryza sativa Japonica Group DNA, chromosome 10, cultivar: Nipponbare, complete sequence.
AUCGACCCCAAAGCAUGUUAACACCAUCCACUAGGGCUUGGUUGACUGGCCUCCCCGAGUAUACCAUCAACAGCUGGGCCGAGCUGAAGGCUCGAU